rnacentral:rRNA from 1 species
GAUGAACGCUGGCGGCGUGCCUAAUACAUGCAAGUCGAGCGAACGGACGAGAAGCUUGCUUCUCUGAUGUUAGCGGCGGACGGGUGAGUAACACGUGGAUAACCUACCUAUAAGACUGGGAUAACUUCGGGAAACCGGAGCUAAUACCGGCUAAUAUUUUGAACCGCAUGGUUCAAAAGUGAAAGACGGUCUUGCUGUCACUUAUAGAUGGAUCCGCGCUGCAUUAGCUAGUUGGUAAGGUAACGGCUUACCAAGGCAACGAUGCAUAGCCGACCUGAGAGGGUGAUCGGCCACACUGGAACUGAGACACGGUCCAGACUCCUACAGGGGGCAGCAGUAGGGAAUCUUCCGCAAUGGGCGAAAGCCUGACGGAGCAACGCCGCGUGAGUGAUGAAGGUCUUCGGAUCGUAAAACUCUGUUAUUAGGGAAGAACAUAUGUGUAAGUAACUGUGCACAUCUUGACGGUACCUAAUCAGAAAGCCACGGCUAACUACGUG